GAUGAACGCUGGCGGCGUGCCUAAUACAUGCAAGUCGAGCGAACAGAUAAGGAGCGUGCGCCUUUGACGGUAGCGGCGGACGGGUGAGUAACACGUGGGUAACCUACCUAUAAGACUGGAAUAACUCCGGGAAACCGGGUCUAAUGCCGGAGAACAUGUAGAACCGCAGGGUUCUAAAGUGAAAGAUGGUUUUGCUAUCACUUAUAGAUGGAGCCGCGCCGUAUUAGCUAGUUGGUAAGGUAACGGCUUACCAAGGCAACGAUACGUAGCCGACCUGAGAGGGUGAUCGGCCACACUGGAACUGAGACACGGUCCAGACUCCUACGGGAGGCAGCAGUAGGGAAUCUUCGGCAAUGGGCGAAAGCCUGACGGAGCAACGCCGCGUGAGUGAUGAAGGUCUUCGGAUCGUAAAACUCUGUUAUUAGGGAAGAACAAAUGUAUAAGUACCUGUGCCCGUCUUGACGGUACCUAAUCAGAAAGCCCCGGCUAACUACGUG
rnacentral:rRNA from 1 species